GCGAUUUUAAGGCCGAUUUCGGCCAAAUUCGAAGCAGAAUCUGAGGAAAAAAAAAGAGGAAGAAGAAGAAGCAGCGCGUAGGGCUAUUUUUGUGGGAGAAAUCUCAGAUUAAAAGAAGUUUAAUCGCAGUUUAAUUAUUCUGCGUGUAUUAAUCUGGUGAUGUUUAAGCGUGAAAACGCUGUAAUCAGCUGAAUGAGGCAAGUUCUCCUCUACCCUUGCGAUCUAUUUCCAUUUGGUGAAUCUCUUGUCUUCCCUUAAUUCGGUUUGGUUUUGCGUAUUAAUUAUACGAAUUAGGGAUGUUUUGGGCAUGAUUUAAUUUAAAAGAAAUAUGAGAUUUAUUGGGAUUUUAUUUACGAGGUGUCUAUGUGGAAUUUAGAUGGCUAAAUUAAUUAUAUUAUACGAUUAGAUUUAAUUAAUGUGAGUCUCGGGUUUUAUUAAUCGCUAUUAAACGUUAUUAAACGUUUUACUUCGUAGCGGGAGUGCAAGAAAUGCAAGAAACGGCUAUGUAAAGGCAAGCUCAUAACCCUCUUCUCAUGUUCUUUAAUUCCCGUGAAAGACCCCGUGAUUUCCUGUAUUUUAUCACCUCCCUUGCUUUAAUGCGGCACAUUGCCUUAUUGGUUGAACUAUUAUUCAUUUGUUUCAAUUUAAAUUAAAUCUGAGACUUCUAUAAUUUUAUUCGUUGUGAGCCUAAGGGGGUUUGUACCGCCCCCAUUCCUUUCGGAAUGAUGCCGGACCCAGCUUGGGAACUAGAUUCCUAGACGGGCGAGUUUAUUUAUAAUUUUAUCGGGCUUAUUUACAGUUUUCCCGGAUUUAUUUAUAGUUCGGUUAGAGCUAUCGAGCAGUAGGGCAGGGGUCGGUUGUUGGUGACGCUGGGAUAGACUAUUAUACGGCCCUGAUGUGGACCGUCGGGUGGACACCCCUAGUCACUGGCCGUUGACCAGUGCCGGGCACUGCUGACUAGCUCUGCCGAUAUGUGAUUUACUGCAUGAUUAGAUACAUUGUAUUACUGUUCAUGAUUUGAUAUGCACAUGGGUACGGGAUGCAUGUUGGGAUAUUCAUUUAUUGAGUAUGCUUGGACACGGACAUUCUAGUUUGGUUAGGUUGCAUCCACCGCGAGCAUAUGCAUGGCGUGUGGUUUACUAUGUGGGCGGAGCAUGGCCUGAUGCCUGGAUGUAUGGGCGCCUUGUAUCACGUUGAUGCUCACUACGCCAUUGCAUUUUUAUGUGCAUUGCAUGGCUACUGGUAGUUAUUAGUUCUCGGACGGGAGUACCGUUCCGAGGGAGCCUAUGGCUCGGUUGUCGGGAGUACUGACGGAUACAGGUGACGGGAGUACCGGCCUGGGACAGCGCGCGCAGGUUUGUGGAGACAUUUGUUGCCUUUCAGGGCAGCGGCAUGUUGGUAUGGGACUUGGGUGCCAAGUGUCUUAUGUGGGCCCCAAAGACCGGUAUGUGCUUUUAUUUUGUUAUACUAUUGAGCUGUUGUGUUGUAGCGUCUCAUGGCUUGUGUGUACCUGGGAUUUAUUCUGGGGUGAGAUUUCUGGUUUUGUGUAGCCUUCAGCCUUUUCUUCCUUAUGCUUGCUGAGCCUCUCGACUCACCUUGCUUUCCAUCAUUCCAGGUAGUGGCGGCGUGGGCCAUAGCAAGGGAGUCAACUUUAACGGCAGAGUCGGUGUGGUGUACAGGCAGUCUCGUCAAUCCCUAUCCACUCUGAUGUCUAAGUAGAAUUUACUCUAUUAUUUCGUACUGUGCUAGGUGUUUUCUCGAGUCUUGUGUAUGUCGGCACAGGAGUUUGUGUCUAUUUAUUUAUCUUGUGACCGUUGUGUUAGCGGGGUACCCAUAGUGCAUGCAUGUCCUGAGCUUUGCUUC